UCCGUAGGGGGUACCUGCGGAGGGAUCAUUACACAACAAAAAUAUGAGGGUGUGGUUUGCUGGCAACAGCGUCCGCCCCAAGUAUUUUUCACCCAUGUCUUUUGCGCACUUUUUGUUUCCUGGGCGAGUUCGCUCGCCACCAGGACCCAACCAUAAACCUUUUUUUAUGCAGUUGCAAUCAGCGUCAGUAUAAUAAUUCAAUUUAUUAAAACUUUCAACAACGGAUCUCUUGGUUCUGGCAUCGAUGAAGAACGCAGCGAAAUGCGAUACGUAGUGUGAAUUGCAGAAUUCAGUGAAUCAUCGAAUCUUUGAACGCACAUUGCGCCCUUUGGUAUUCCAAAGGGCAUGCCUGUUCGAGCGUCAUUUGUACCCUCAAGCUUUGCUUGGUGUUGGGCGUCUUUUUGUCUCUCCCCUUGUUGGGGGAGACUCGCCUUAAAACGAUUGGCAGCCGACCUACUGGUUUUCGGAGCGCAGCACAAAUUUGCGCCUUCCAAUCCACGGGGCGGCAUCCAGCAAGCCUUUGUUUUCUAUAACAAAUCCACAUUUUGACCUCGGAUCAGGUAGGGAUACCCGCUGAACUUAAGCAUAUCAAUAG
rnacentral:rRNA from 1 species